rnacentral:rRNA from 1 species
UACGUAGGGGGCAAGCGUUGUCCGGAUUUAUUGGGCGUAAAGAGCUCGUAGGCGGUUUGGUAAGUCUGGUGUGAAAUCUCCACGCUCAACGUGGAGGGGCCACCCGAUACUGCUAUGACUGGAGUCCGGUAGAGGAGUGUGGAAUUCCCGGUGUAGCGGUGAAAUGCGCAGAUAUCGGGAGGAACACCGGUGGCGAAGGCGGCCAUCUGGCACACAACUGACGCUGUUGCACGAAAGCGUGGGGAGCAAACAGG